rnacentral:rRNA from 1 species
GCGAGCAGUAGGAGGUGGGACAAAUGAUUGGGGUGAAGUCGUAACAAGGUAGCCGUAUCGGAAGGUGCGGCUGGAUCACCUCCUUUCUAAGGA